UUCUCACCCUGGCCGCGAGCAAAGUGUCUUCAUGAGCGCAGAGGAUGUCCGGGAAGCACUACAAGGGGCCUGAAGUCAGUUGUUGCAUCAAAUAUUUCAUCUUCGGCUUCAAUGUCAUUUUCUGGUUCCUUGGCAUAGCAUUUCUUGGGAUUGGAUUGUGGGCAUGGAAUGAAAAGGGAGUGCUGUCCAAUAUUUCCUCCAUCACCGACCUGGGAGGCUUUGAUCCAGUUUGGCUCUUCCUAGUGGUAGGAGGAGUUAUGUUCAUUUUGGGAUUUGCAGGAUGCAUUGGAGCUUUGAGAGAAAACACCUUUCUUCUCAAAUUUUUUUCUGUGUUUCUUGGAAUUAUUUUCUUCUUGGAGCUCACUGCUGGUGUUCUAGCAUUUGUUUUCAAAGACUGGAUAAAGGACCAGCUGUAUUUCUUUAUAAACAACAACAUCCGAGCAUACCGAGAUGACAUUGAUUUGCAAAACCUCAUAGACUUCACACAGGAAUAUUGGCAGUGCUGUGGGGCUUUUGGAGCUGAUGACUGGAACCUUAAUAUUUACUUCAAUUGCACAGAUUCCAACGCAAGUAGAGAGCGCUGUGGGGUGCCAUUCUCUUGCUGCACUAAAGACCCUGCCGAAGAUGUUAUUAAUACUCAGUGUGGCUACGACGCAAGGCAAAAACCAGAGGUGGAUCAGCAGAUUGUUAUCUACACUAAAGGCUGUGUCCCUCAGUUUGAGAAAUGGUUGCAGGACAAUCUUACCAUAGUUGCUGGUAUAUUCAUUGGGAUAGCAUUACUGCAGAUAUUUGGGAUAUGCUUAGCCCAGAAUUUGGUUAGUGACAUUGAGGCUGUCAGAGCCAGCUGGUAAAACUGCUGAAGUAACCACAACAAGACACUGGACAACCGAAACCCUCUGAAACCUCCAGUGUGUCGCUCCGACACCAAGCUGCAUGGACAUGGGUGACAGGGAAGCCUUCUCUCCCAAGUAGUCUCAAAUCCAAGUUCCUGAUACUGCAGUGAACUCGUGUUUCUUUGGGGUGGGGGAGAGAAGAGUGGGCUAUUUAAAACCUGCUGCUCACUGACAACUUUUUUUUUUUUCUCUUAAACCACCAGUUUGAAAGCUGUUGAGCCGUGAAUCUCUACUGUAUUCUUGAUCCUGAGUAACAAGUGGACACUUUUUAAAAUUGGUGUAUUCAGUGGGACAGAGUUGCAUCAUUGUAGUCUGUGGAUAUGCUGUUUAUUCUUCGUGUCAUGAGCUCUUUGAUAGCUGCCAAAUAUUCCUGAGAUGGUCUCUCUCCUCACCACUCCAUAAAGGAACAAUCUUCUUGUUUUCACAGCUAAACAUAGCUACAGGCCUAAACCCAUCAAGCAGGAAGCAACUUUCUAUGCAUCUAUUGUACAGUAAAAGAAAUUGUUUUUAAAACAAGGGAAAAUUUUUUUUUUAUGCAAGCUUCCAACCAUCUCCUUAUUGUACUUUGAGGUUGGAAUCAGCAAGCUCAUAGGGAGAAUUGCCUAAUUUUAUCAACAUCUUUCUUCCUUCUCCACCCUUGUAUGAAGGGAAUGGGGUUUUGUAUUUGACAAACAAGGGUUGUAGAGCCUUUGGUUGCUGCCAUACCUUAGGACUUCAGUCUCUUAAGGCAAGGAUGGGAUAUAACUGUAUAAAUGUAUGAAAGCAGUGUGGAUGUUGGGUCCAAGUGAAUAAUAUUAUUCAAAGAAUGAAUUAUAUAUUAACUUAAAAAAGAUCAAAACAUAUGUGUCUGAUAUGGCUAAAUCUUUUGUUUCUCUGGAGUUUAGUGUAACCUAAUGUAUUAGGGAUCUCACUAAUAUUAGUGCUUUGAUAUUCUUGUGCAAAACGUCUUUUAAGAUAAUUCCUUGGUCUGUUCCUAGCUGAGGCUUUGGUCUUUCUUUUUUCUUUUUUUUUUUUUCUUUAAUUCUUUUUACUUGCAUGAGCUGUGGAGUAAGAAUCUGUGACACUCCAGUGCUUUAAAUCUGUGCAUAUGUUUUAAUACAGUCUAAUCCAAACUUAUUUAUUGGUAAAUGCAUGUGAUUAUGGAAAGAUCAUAUCCCAUUCUCUUGGAAGUUGGAGAGAACAGCUUUUGCCAGAGUAAAUGCUUACCUCCAGUGGACAAAUCCUUGCUAUGGAGAUGUGUCUCCCUUUGUUGUUCUAAAUGCAACAAAAAGCUUUCUUGAAGCAAUGGAAUAAAAGUUUUAAAAUGAAGUGCAUAUUAGGAUCAGCCAAGACAGACUCUUCUGAAUUGGACAAAAGAGAGCAGAAUUUGGAAUAAAGCACAAAUAAGUGAAAGAAGAAUUAGGUCAGACUCCAUCCAGCUUAGAGUUUUUGAUUUGUUCUUCUUCACUAAUAAUAGUGAACUUACAAACCUUACCAUGGCUUGGGUAGUUUUAUUGCACUUUGUAUAAAUUUAGCUUGUUGUAUGACCCUUCUCAGUAUCUGCAGAACCAGUCCUGAAAGCUGCGAGCUCUCGGCUCCUGCUUUGGUCAGGCAGUGGCAAAGGGUGGAUAGCACCUAUUUGUAAGAGCUUAGCAUCUUUCUGAGAUGAGUUUCCUGAAAUGAAGUAUGCGGAGUAGAAGAGAUGAGCGCAUUGUUUUCAAAGCUUCCCUGUUCUGGGGGACGGAUAGAAGGCUGGACUGAUGACCUAUUAAGGUCCUUUCUGGUCCUGUGACUCUUAAACAUGGACACACCGUUUUGCCUGAUAGCAGCAGGACAGACAGACCAUCAGCACCAGUGUUGCUGCAGUGAGACAAAAUGGUGCGGGGAGAAAUUGGGGAAGCGUGGUUGAGGAAGUUACCCCUCCACCCAGGAGCCUUGAUUGAGAUCCAGCGCUUUGGUUUGGAGAGAAGGAAAAAAAGCCUACACUACAGAAACGUUCCUUUUUGCCACUGAUCUUGAAAACUGCUGUUGCUGCUGGGGGCUUCUGAAGACAACUUCAUUCUUCUACUUGAAUUUCUGCAGUUGUACUGUAUUGGCCUUCUGUCUUGUCAUGCUGUUCUCUGAGUUCCAGUCUGCUGGACGUGCUGUUGGCAGUGUCAGACUGAUAGGAAGGUAAAUGCUCAGAGGUGAGCAAAUCUCGUUCUCGCUACUUGCACGUGUACGCACAAAGGUGCAACACUUCUGCUGAGUCCCAGAAUGACUGACUGUUCUUAUAAAAACCACUAAGUAACUUAUUUUUUGAGAGCUUGUCUUUAUUGCUGCAGAUGCCGAUCUUCCCCCCUUCCCUGCUCCCAAGAGACACUCUUAUUUUCCUCAUUUUUGCAGUUGUUUUAUGGCUGCAUAUGGAAUGUUCAGGAUUAGCUGUCUAUAUUGCACAUUUGAAUCCCACAUUUUUUUUGUCUACAGUUUGGGUAAGACGUCCUAGAAAUGCCCCAUCAGCAGCUACUCAGCAGCUUAGUUGUCCCGUUUGCGAAAGCUUGUGGGAGGCCCCGGAAAUCAAUCUCUUACUAUCAGAGCCUGCCAAAUGCAAGCAAGCUUUCUUCCAGAAAACUUUGUGAAAACUUCAGGUGAGCUGCAACUAGAGCACAACUGUUAGCUACGUGGGCUCAUUUUCUAAAGCAAUAAGAUGGGGUAGGCGGUGGUGACUACUUGGCAAUUUCUGGCCUGCCUGGUGUCAUGGUGGCGUAGAUGUGAGUUCAGAGGUCGGUCUAAUUAUCUUUAGCGUGCAGUAGUUGUUUGGAAAUUUGUUGUCAGGCUUGCGGCCCUCAUGGAGUGUGCAACAGCUUGCUGGGCGAUUUGUAUGGGAUUGGUGGCGUUGUUACCGAGAGGUCUGGUAGGUGCAGCAGUAGCCCUGGCUUUAAGGCAAUUUCCAAAUUCCCCACUGAGCCCUGCCAAAGGGUAUCACAGUCCUUGCUCCCCUCUGCUUUCAAAAUACUCUCCAUGUUCACAGGCCUUUCUGUUGUUUGAUCUCUCUCUCUCUGUUUUUUGGUUUGGUCUUUUUUUAUUUUUAUUAUUUUUUAUUAAUAGCCUAAUGGACAGGUGUUCGAUUUGUCUCUGUGUGUCCAUUUCAGUAGCAGUAGGUUAUCUUCAAAAUCCAUCAUUUGAAUUGUGCCCCUUAGAGUUUGAAGCUGUGGAGAUGCUCGCUGAAGCGUGCUCUGUGCUGGGAGCCGCCUUCUCUCCCCUGCGAGAGAGACGCUCGCCCUGGUCCUGGUGUGUAAAUAGCGUUUGAGAUGUAAAUAGUAGCAUGCAGGUUAAACGAUUCUUGCACAUGACUGCUUUUUCACCCUAAAAGCGUUUGUUACGGCUAGGAAAGCCGUC